GUUCUGAAGCUCCUUCGUUUCUUUCUCCCUUUCUCCCUCCGUUUCUUUCAUUCACAGAAACUCAGCCAAAAAACCCUAACACUGUAAGCCUACACCACCGCCGCCGCAAGGAGUGGCAUACUGCUGCCGCCCGUCCGUCUAUCUAGCUUCCCUCGUGCUCCAAGUCUUCAACCCCCGUUCGCUGUCACCGAUCGCAGCUGCUUCCUCGAGCUCGGCGUCCGUCGUCUUUGUCUGCUCAGCCGCGCUUCCGCCGCCGUUGGUUGCCGUUAACGUUCGCGUCUUCGUUCAGCCGUCAUCUUCGUUCGCGUUCUUCGCCGUUCAAGUUUGCUCGGCGUUCACCGUUCGCGUUCACUCGCCGUUCACCGUUCGCGUUCACGUUCGUCUGGAAGCCACGUUGCCCUGUUUCAAACUCUGCGACCAACCCGUGUGCUCCACCUAGCCGUCGAACUGCUCUCUUUUGUCGCCGCCACAGUAUGGAACCAGAGAAAGUACAGAAGUUGCUGUAGAAGGGAGAGUUCAGUUUGAUCUGCUCCAGGUCAGCUUCACCGGUUCGAUGGAGGUAGGCCGUGAAAUAAUGGAUGCUGCAGCUAGCAGCAACUUGAAACAAGUUUCACUUGAAUUAGUAGGAAAGUCACCUCUUCUAAUCUUUGAUGAUGCUGAUGUAGAUAAAGCUGCUAGCCUUGCUCUCUUGGGCAUAGUAUAUAACAAGGGUGAGAUGUGUGUUGAAAGUUCAGUGUGUUUGUUCAGGAAGGGAAUGUGCUGAAUAAUUAUAUUAAAAGAUGGAUUUAGGCAUUCUUUUCUUCCUCUUUCACACCCUGCAGGUUUUGACAGCUACUAAAAUUAGAUAUUGGAGGUUUUGUUCAAUUAGAUGCUAGGUUUUGACAAGUCCCCAUGAGAUGUAAUGGCAAAAGAGAAUUGAUAGGCACAAAGUUUCUUCUUGUUAUCAUGCUAUAUAAAAAACAUGUCUCACUUGUGGUGGUUUGGUUUGGUUUUUGUUGUUUUCCAUUGCAGGAAUGCUAUUGAUUCCUCUUUAUUCAAGCAAUGGUUGCAUAACUUGCAAAGUGAGAUUGGGAUUCUAGCUGAUGGCACCUUGGCUCUGAGACAAGUUCUAAUUCAGGUAAUUGCAUCAUCAGUGUUUAAAAAGUGGAUAUGAUUUCUGAUAAUUAGGCCUUGUUAAGUGGUAAUUUAAGUAACUGACUAACCUGUUAGUCUUCUAGUCUUAUUCAUGUUCUCAAAUCAAAAUCAACGAAACUAGUUGGACUCUUUUUGGUGUAAACAGGGUGUAGACAUGUUUGGAAAGCGCAUUGGGUUUCUCAAAUUUAAAGCUGACAUUUAUAAGCCAGCCUAUGUUUCCAUUUUCUUGUGUUAAGUUUAGCAAGGGGCUAUGAACUAAGGACCUGCUGUGACUGUGUUGAUACUUCUGGAAUCAGAUGGUGAAACUUAUGCUGUCCUUACUGAACAGGCAAGGGUUCCUACUGGAAGAAUUAUUUUGGAAUUGCCUGCUGGAAUGUUGGAUGAUGACAAGGGUGAUUUCGUUGGCACUGUAGUUCGUGAGGCUUCUCUCUCUCUCUCCAAUUCUCUUCAUGGCUUAGUUGUGCCUCUAACAGGUUGAAGAGGAGACUGGCAUAAAGUUCAAACUUGAAGACAUGGUUGAUCUCACUGCUUUCUUGGAUCCUUCAACAGGAUGCAGAUUUUUUCCCUCACCGGCUAGUAUUGGAAUGGAUAACUUGAACGCUUAAUGCACAAAGUGGAGCAGUUUUAGGUUGAUUUUGAUCUUUUACUAAGUAUUUAGGUUGAUGAUAAUCUCUAUUAGUGUAAUUUGAUAUAUCAUGAGCAGUUCUAACUUGUAUUGUUUCUGUAUUUUUCUUCGGUUUUUAGUUUUGGAAUUUGAACUCGAGAUUUAUUUUGUAUUUGAG